AGUUGAUUCCUGUCUGGUUACUGAAAAAAUGGAAGAACAUAGAUAUAUGUAGCAAGAGAAAAACGAUAAAUUAGAUUUUAAAAAAAUAAUCAUAACCGUUUUUUUUUUGAGUGUUCUAAUGGAGCUAAAGAGCUGGAAUGGAGUUUUCGCGCCAAAAAGGUUGAAAAUCAGUUAGAUGAUCGAUCACAUAGGCACGAUGAAUUUCCUGCCAAAUUCAGUUGAAGAAAGAAGAACCAGACUCAUGUUUGCAAAGAAGCUGGCUAGACCAGACGUCUAGUUUUCUUCGAGUUCGGCUCGUCUCCAGUCACCACCACAUCACCGGCCAAUCGACACUCUCCAUCAGUUCUCUGGUUUGAAUUAAUUAUUUUGUUAAAAUUAAAUUCUACUUGUGUUUUUUACUGACAUUUGUAUUUUAAAAUUACUAGCAGCAGAGGAGGAAGACAACGUCAUUGCAAGUAUUCAAAAUGCUUGCAGUUGUGAGUGAACAAAAUUAAUUUUCCUAGGGUUACCAGUUAAAUAAGCAUUUUGCAUAUAUAUGCACUUAAUUAGGAAGUGAUUAUAAUUAACUCUACCAGUGAAAAUGGGCACUGUGAAUGGGUUCUGGAGGAUACUGUGAUGGAUGCAGUUGUGCUGUUUGUCAUAAUGUCGCUGUGAAUGGAGAUUUAAGGAGAUCGGUUGUUGAACGUGCACUUCCGCGUAACUCGAAUGCAUUCAAGUCUAAGAUGGCUGAUAAUUGUACAGCUCGAGGUGGGGUAUGUCGUAGAAUUAGCAAGUUCUGAGUUAAACUUCUGCGACUCUAGAGUAAUAACUUAUCACCCGACUGAUAUGGCCUCCAUAUCAAGAUUAUGUUGAAUAACAAGUGUGAUUGAAAAUCCCACGUUGGAAAGUUAUUAGUAGAAUGUGGAACAUAUAAGUGCAAUGGACUGACUAACCCAUUGCCUUAGGGUUUUGGGUUAAAUAUGAUAUCUCUGGCCCAUGGUUAUGUGGUUUCCAUUCUUGUCGGGGUCCCUUGUACAUUGCGGUCCUUUUCGUUCGUAGUUUUCUUUUUCAAUUAAUUUAGGUUGCUUUACAUUGUUGUUCAUCUGACUACACAAAUUUCCUUUAUUACACAAAUGCCUUUUUGGCUUCAAGGUGAUUUUGUCUAUGAAGUCAGAGUUAGAUCAUUAUCUGGAGCUCCUUCUCCAGGACAGAAUCUGAACCAGGGUUGUACAGAAGACUUCUAUGCAGAGCAGGAAAGGCUUGCUUUAACAUGUUGAAGAGAUUGUCUUGCAAAACUCCUCACUUUGGAAAAAUUAAAACAGCUGCAUUACCAAGGGUGGAAUCAAAACUGAGAUCUGAUUGAAAGAAAUGGCCACAUAUUCACCUGAAUAUACCAUCAUGUUAAAAGAAUUCCUGAAACCUCUUCAACUUCAAGUGAUUUUACUUGCACCAAUGUGAAGUUCUAGUUUCAAAAAUGUAAUGGCAGGAUCUUAAUCAGGUUUCUUUCUUUUCUUUUCUUUUG